CCCAUAUUUACGGAGGCCGCGAACCAUAAUUAAUACUUGACCAAAUCUUAAACUACCAAAACGGAAUCAAGUCAAUUCCAUACACUGUAUUUCCCCAGAAAUCAAAAUUCCAAGACCCCCAAGAAACUCCAUGGACCCAAAUUCAUCUCCUUCCAAUUCCAAUUCCAACACGACCAUUCCGGUAGUGGCAACCCUCCCCGCUUUCGGGUCGGACUCUUUGACCCGGAAGCCCAUCAGCUUGUGGCCCGGAAUGUUCCACUCGCCGGUGACGCAGGCACUGUGGGAAGCGAGGUCUCACAAGUUCGAGAGGCUCUUGGACCCACCAGCAGACGCUCCUCCGCAGAGCGAAUUGCUGAACAAGACUCCGUCUCAGAGCAGGACUACAAUUCUGUACAAUUUCUCUACUGAUUUUAUACUGAGGGAGCAGUACAGGGAUCCUUGGAAUGAGGUCCGAAUUGGGAAACUGCUUGAAGACCUUGAUGCUUUAGCUGGAACCAUUUCUGUCAAGGUUGAUUUUCCAGUCUUGGAGAGGCUAGAAAUUGGUGGCAGCCUUAACUUGAAAGAGAGAUGGAACAACCUUUGUCUGGGGAAAAAGCGCAAAAGUGAAAUCAAGCUCAAAAGUUCUUGAUGCAGAACACAAAGGAAAGAUCAACAAGUGCGAGAUUCGGAGUGCGCUAUUCCACAUGGGAGUUGACAUGGAUGUUCUUCCCGUUUCAGGUUAUUCUUGAAUUCAUUGCUCUGGCUCUAAUUCUAGGAUUAUUCACAUAUGUGCUCUUUCUUUUUGCCAAGUAUAUAGUGGAUUCUGCAGACAUUAAUUGAACUUUUCUUUCAUUUGGUUACCUAAGUGUUUAGCUUGUGGAAAUUUUGAAAGAGGUAGUGCUCUAUCUACAUUAGGAGUCUUAAGGAUCCAUGUGGAAGAGACUGUUGAUCCUAUUGAGUCACAUUCAUUAGGACACAUUUUUCAGUUAUAUAGAGCACAUUGUUAAUACUUUCUAGUAUCCUGUUUGUUUUGUGUACUAUUGUUAGUGCUCACCUUCAUAUACUUCACUCUUGUAUUCUCAGUGCUAGGUGUGUGAACUUAACAUUUUGGCUAUAUUAUUGCAUCAGGGUAGCAAGGAUUAAGCUCACUGUUCAGGACCAAAUUACUUAAUCAUCUGUCUCCCUUUGGUGUUUGUCUUUGACGAAACGUUUUUUUUCCUUUAUUAAUAGUCUUGAAAUUUAAGAGAAACUGAACCUCCACUAAACAUUCCCUGUAAUGUCUUCGAGUCAUAAAUCUAGAUCUUAUCUACAUGUCACGACGAGGGAAAUUGGCUUCCGGGUAAUAUCUUGCUAUAGAAUUUAGUGAUGGUUUGCACUCAUAUCUGAAAAACAGACAUGCAACCUCUGUUUGGAAAACUUUUAAGGAUUUAGGUAUGCAUUAUGGUUAAAAAUGUUUUAGAAUCUGUGAAAAGAUACACAUGUUUUCAAGUGCACACACAAGGUUGAGGUAAAUGUUUGUGCCUGACCUCUAAACGACAUCCUUAAGGCAUUGGGUACUUUCCAUGCUGAAAGGAAGGUUGAAGUGUCAAAUAUAUUAGAUCCCUAUAGGUGCCUUUUCAUCAUGUAAAAUUUCCUUUUUAAUUAGUGCAGAACUUAUACCCUUAAAAAUGGGUUCUUGGACCCAUUAGAGUAGUCUGCAUAUGCUGAGACAACAUGUGCAGCCAGCACUAUAUCACAGGUCUGAUGGUUCCAGUCAGUAUCUCCACCAUUUAGUCAGACUGAUAGUAACAGAAGAACUGAUAUUGAUGAGCGUAGCAACUUCACCAACUCUCUCCUCUCGUUUUCUGGAAUUGCUAAUCUCAGCCCAAAUUACAUUGAGAGUUUCCAUGUUACCGAAGGCACGAAUCAGGAAUUCUGACAAGUUUCACUUAUAAUGAUUGAACUUUUCUCUGUUGCAUUACUAAGGUGUGCAUAUUUUGAGUGAUUUCAACAUCACUUGUGUGAGUGAAGGUUCUAGGCACAUAAUCUCUAUGUGCAGAUGCUCGGUCUUUUGGUCACAUACUCAAAUGCUUUAUAUUAUGAAAGAGAUGUUUUUAUGUCAGCAACAGAAGCCCAAGCUCAUGGAAUUGUUGUCUUGUAGCGACUGAAUAAAAAAGAAAAAGAACAAGGAUUUCACAUGAAUUCGUGAUUUGUUAUUUUAUCUUCUUACGGAUUUAAUAUUCUAUUUAUUAAUUUCUUAAUAUAGAAAUUAAAAAUAUAGAAUAGUUUAUGGAUUGUGAUUGAGUGAAUGCAUAUAUUUCAGAACAGAGAGCACUUUCCAUUUCUAAAUAAUGAAACCCUUCUGUAAUAUUUCUUGGACCCUAGUUUCUUGCUGUAGUUAUCAUUUGUAUUUGAAGUUGAUAACUUCUUAAUAAUACAUUGUAGCAAGAUAGAAUGUCAAUGGGUCUCAACCGACAAUGGUGGUGAUGGAUGGGAUCCUACAUGACGAAUGGAUGGUUCUGUGAUGUGUGAGAUUGUAUGUCAAAACAUGAAUUAUCCAUCAUACAAGGUUCCUUCUCAUUCUGUAUAUCAACUUCUCAGAAAUUUUAUACUUUUCAGUGUUUUUCUUUUACUCGCUUGGUUAAUGUUUAUGAGCUCUCAUUUUUGUGAUUGAAUGACUAUUCAGCCAUGUGGGUUAUGUUUUGCUGCUUAAUUUGUUUCACAUUUCUACAAAUUCUGGGAAUUUAGGCAUUUGUUUAUUGGUUCCCACUUCAGCCUGAGGACCCUGUUAAUUAGUUACUGUUGCAUAAGACCUCAACCAACAAAGCUUACUACCCAAAGGAACAGAAGAUUGAUAGCACAAGUACAGAGAAAAUUGUCUAAUAAUUGUUUAGCGAACAAAUUCACAUGUUUCAAAUGCAGUGCGAUCUUUGAAAGUGAGUGUUAAGCAACACUGAAAAUAUAAGAAUUAAUUUCAAACCUUUUUUGACGGUUCCGGUUCAUUUUUACAUUCGUUAUGAACUGUUGGGAUUGAGGAUGGCACUAUGGAUCAUUUAAGCACAGCAUGACGGUUUCACUCUUGGUUAGUGGAUUAGGGGCCAUUGGGAAAUUGUAAAUAUUCCAGUUUGCUCGCCUCCUUAUGUAUUUUUUGAUGGUAUUUGUUCCUGUCAGUUGCUAGCAACAGGAGAACACAUGUUCCUGUACUUUCAAAUUACAGAUUAGUUAGUUUCCUGGAAAGUCAAAUGAGAGAGUUCAUUAUCUGUUUUGUAAUUUUUCUUCCUCUUAUUGCCAUCAGACAUCAUUUGUCGAUGACUGGGUGUAUGCUUUAAGUUUUCUGACCUUCUGAUCUUGUGCAUUGCAGUUGUUUGUCUUGGGAGCGGUUUGGCGCUUUUUGGCAAAUGUUAAGGACCUAAACGCCCACUAGCAAAGAAAAGAGGAGACUCUGCAGAAGGCUGAUGAGAUACUUGGGACAAAGAAUAAGGACCUAUACAGUAUAUUGGAAGGAUUGAUCAGUCAUAACGUCUAUAGAACCCUAUACCCCAUAUGUGAAGGGUUGAUAACAGUCCGUUGAACUCAUGUCGAUUGAAGCCUUUGUAAAUUCAAUCCAUUUUUCAUGUAACUAAACUGCAGCAAGUCCAUUCUUUCAAUCCCUGUAACUGUACAAGUAGCAACUUUGAGAGAAUGUUAGCAAAUGACUUGUUCUAACUUCUUCACAAGAUUUGAGAAGUUGGAAAUAAGUCAUUUGAGGGUAAGAAAUUGCUUCCUGUAGGGCAGAACUUUCUUCUUUUCAGAUCCAAAAUUAGAAAUGAUAACAUUUCAAGUUCAUGUUAAUUACUUCAUAGUCUAUAUGUCUAAAAGAAG